UAACACAUGCAAGUCGAACGGGAUCCAUCCUUCGGGAUGGUGAGAGUGGCGGACGGGUGAGUAACGCGUGGGAACCUGCCCAGUGAUGGGGGAUAACUGCGGGAAACUGCAACUAAUACCGCAUGAGCCCGAGAGGGGAAAGAUUUAUCGCCAUUGGAGGGGCCCGCGUUCGAUUAGGUAGUUGGUGAGGUAAUGGCUCACCAAGCCGACGAUCGAUAGCUGGUCUGAGAGGAUGAUCAGCCACACUGGGACUGAGAUACGGCCCAGACUCCUACGGGAGGCAGCAGUGGGGAAUAUUGGACAAUGGGGGCAACCCUGAUCCAGCAAUGCCGCGUGAGUGAUGAAGGCCUUCGGGUUGUAAAGCUCUUUUGCCAGGGACGAUGAUGACGGUACCUGGAGAAUAAGCCCCGGCUAACUUCGUGCCAGCA
rnacentral:rRNA from 1 species